GGUCUGGUCAUCUGUGGUUGUCUUGAUGACAUAGAUCUCUUGCUACCCAUACUCCAACUGCUGGUGAACAAGUAACACCUCAACAGUAUGGCAGUCCGAAGAAGGCAGUGCUUUCUGAUGAAACAGCUUCAAGUACCGUCCCAGUUGGUGAUGUGUCCUGCAGUGUUUUUGUGGAUAAAGUGGCACUGAGAAGGGUGGAGCUGGAGUCGGGGCGGAGGAACCAGCUGGCCUUAGGGCUUCUUGACAUUGUGUUUGAGCCUGCUGUCUUGGGAGCCUCUACUUGCAAUGGUUCACGUGAAGGAUCAAAACAGCCACUAGAUCCAAAGAUACUAGAA